UUUGAGUGAUUGCCGAAUUGGUGAGUAACACGUGGGAAACCUGCCCAGAAGCGGGGGAUAACACCUGGAAACAGAUGCUAAUACCGCAUAACAACUUGGACCGCAUGGUCCGAGUUUGAAAGAUGGCUUCGGCUAUCACUUUUGGAUGGUCCCGCGGCGUAUUAGCUAGAUGGUGGGGUAACGGCUCACCAUGGCAAUGAUACGUAGCCGACCUGAGAGGGUAAUCGGCCACAUUGGGACUGAGACACGGCCCAAACUCCUACGGGAGGCAGCAGUAGGGAAUCUUCCACAAUGGACGAAAGUCUGAUGGAGCAACGCCGCGUGAGUGAAGAAGGGUUUCGGCUCGUAAAACUCUGUUGUUAAAGAAGAACAUAUCUGAGAGUAACUGUUCAGGUAUUGACGGUAUUUAACCAGAAAGCCACGGCUAACUACGUGCCAGCAGCCGCGGUAAUACGUAGGUGGCAAGCGUUGUCCGGAUUUAUUGGGCGUAAAGCGAGCGCAGGCGGUUUUUUAAGUCUGAUGUGAAAGCCUUCGGCUCAACCGAAGAAGUGCAUCGGAAACUGGGAAACUUGAGUGCAGAAGAGGACAGUGGAACUCCAUGUGUAGCGGUGAAAUGCGUAGAUAUAUGGAAGAACACCAGUGGCGAAGGCGGCUGUCUGGUCUGUAACUGACGCUGAGGCUCGAAAGUAUGGGUAGCAAACAGGAUUAGAUACCCUGGUAGUCCAUACCGUAAACGAUGAAUGCUAAGUGUUGGGAGGGUUUCCGCCCUUCAGUGCUGCAGCUAACGCAUUAAGCAUUCCGCCUGGGGAGUACGGCCGCAAGGCUGAAACUCAAAGGAAUUGACGGGGGCCCGCACAGGCGGUGGAGCAUGUGGUUUAAUUCGAAGCUACGCGAAGAACCUUACCAGGUCUUGACAUACUAUGCAAA
rnacentral:rRNA from 2 species